UCAAGCUGAAAUCAAGAGUUGGAUGCCCAACCAACUGAGCCACCCAGGUGCCCCUAUGGUCAGAUUUCUUAACCUGAAGUUCAUAGGGAGGCUAUAGAUGGGUUCUUGGAUUCCAAAACUGAAACUGCUUUCAAAAUUUUGUGUUUAUAUGCAUAUAUUUAGGGAGAGAAACUACAGCCUUUCAGAAAGUUUUUAACUAUAUUAUCUAAUUUAAUCUUCACAAGCAAUAUGUAGUAUUACUAUACUAUUCUUAUUUUAACAGAUUGAGGAAAUUGAAGCUCAUGGGAGAUCAAAAAAACUUUAAGGUCACAAAGGAAGUGGCAGAGGAUUAUUUUAAAAAAAUGUCUUUGAAACACACAUAUACAGAUACAUAUACAAUGCAAUAAGCUAUUCGGAAAGUAUUUUAACUGUAAAAUAAGGGUUUUACAUUAGUGUAUAUGGACUUAAAACCAAAUUAUGGAUGAAAUAUGCAAUUUUAUUUGCAUAUUUGUAAUAUGAAAAUAAUUGUAAAUGAUUUUAAGAAUUCAAAUCAUUUUGAAAAAACAUAUAUAAAACCACAUAAAUUAUAAUGUGUCAUGUGUUGUUUUAUACACCUGAUAUAUAUUACCUCAUUUAGUUCUCACAAUAAACCAAUGCGUAGAUACUGUCAUUAUCCCCAUUUUAUGGAUAAGGAAACAGAGAAACAGAGUGGUUAAGUAAUUUGCCCAAGGUCACACAGCUAUUAAGCUGCAAAGUUAAGAUUCUGGAUCUAAAUCUGUACUCUACUAUGCGAUAUUACUUCUCCGAACACUCAAUAUAUGAAAAAAUUAAAUUAUGGUCACUCUAAAGGAAAAAAAGAGAAAGCCAAAAAAGAAUAGAAUUUGGAAAAGUCUAUCAUGAUAAGGUAUCUAAUCUAUUCUAACACAUAUGAACCAAGAGCAAUGAGAAAAGAGAAAUCUAGAAACUACUACAUUCACGUUACUCUCACAUGAACAAGCUCAUUUGAUUUUCACAGCUGUGUGCACAGGAAGGGCAAGUGCUAUUUGUCCCGCAUCUUAAGGAUGAGUUAGCUGAUCCUGAGAGAUUAAUCUCGCCACUCAUCAUUACCUGACCUUUCCUGCUUCUAGGACUUCCUGUGCAAUCUUUCCUCUAUUGGAAUCUUUCCUUCUCUGUCUAGCAAAAAUUCAACUGUAUCUUUGAGGUCCAGAUCAGAUGUGACCCUUAGAUAUCUAUCUUUCCUAGCACUUUGGGGCACAAUUAACCCUUUUCUCUAUUCUCCCUCAACAUGAUUCAUAUCAUUCCACCAGCACAGCAAUCAUCCUCUUUGUCAUCAGCUGUGUCUACAUCUAGUUCCCUGGGCAGACACUAGGCUCCAUGAUGGCAAGAGCUAACCGGAGGAGAAAGAAUCCUAGGAUUUCACCACCAAAUUAGCAAAAGGAUGAAGGAGAACAUUAGCAGUUAGUUCGGCUAAGAGGAACACGGAUUCACCGUGACAAGCUGUUGCCAUCUUUAUAACUUAAGAAUUUGUCCUCAAAGUUAGUAGCAAUUCUGCCAAACACUUCCAGAGAUGCUCCCUGUGUAAUCCGUGGGAAGUGUCUGGACAGACAGACACCUGAGACUGUGACUCCUCUGCUAUGCUACUAAUCCCUCAAAUAUAUCGUUUUAUUGAGUUUAUGCUUCUUGUUUCUUUCAAGUAUAUCAAGAGGCCUCAAGAGGACUAUGAAAACAAUUACAUCUCUAAGUUGGAGCAAUGUGGGUUUCAGUAUUUCGUAGUACCUCUGGAAAAGGAAAGAAGGUCAAUAGACCAGAUCCACCUUCCAAGGAAUUGGCUCAAACAGAAAAGAUAGCAAGGAGUCAAAAAUGGUGCCUUUCUUGACUAGAUUAAGAGCCUGGAGUGCAUUAAGAAAUGAGCAAUUUCAAAAUGGAAAAAAGAGAAAGUUCAUUUUCUGAAAAGAGGAUGCGUAUUUGUGAUUUACAAACAUAGAGCUAAAAGUGAAUGAGCUAAGUACAGAAAGAAAAAAAAAUUUUCUUUUAUUGAACACAGUUAUUGGACACAUUCCGUGUACCUGGACUGCAAAAGAAGCCAGAUGUGAAGAAAAACAAAGCAUGUAGUGAAAAUAGUGGACCAAAUUCUAAUGAACAAAUAAUUUUAAGUGUGAAAAGGUCUGCAAAAGGAAAAUCAAAGUUCUAUAGGAGCAAAUAAUAGAAGGGACCAAUCCAGUCUUGGGUGUGAGAAAGGCCUGGGAAAGGAUCUCAAGAAAGUGACAUUUAAGUGAAGACUUGAAGGAUACACAUAAUGACCUGGGUAAGAGAGGUGGGGUGAGCAUUCUGAGCAAAGGGAACAAAUGGCACAUAGGCAGGCUAAAGGCAUAGUGCCUGCACAAAACUGGAAGCGUGGCUGUGACACACAGAAGAUGGAAAAGAGGUUUGGAGAUAAGGCUGGAGAAGGCAGGAAUUUAAAAAGUUACUGACAAUCCUGCAGAGAACAAUUCUGGAGUGAUAGUCACAGAAGAAAAUAAGAUUUCUGGAAAGGUAGUAGUGAAGAGCUGGAGCUAUUUAAAUAAGGUUAAAAUUCCAGCUACAUUAUUUAUCAACUAUGUGAACUUGGACAAGUUACUUACCUUUAAGUCUGUUUCAUCUGUAAAUAGAAGAUAAUAAUGAUAGUACUUGUUUCACAAGGCUACUUGAGGAGUAAGAAUACGUGUAAAACAUUUCACCAAGAGUCUGACACAAAAUACAAGCAAACACUGGCUGACAGGAAGUAAAAAAACAGCCUGGAAGUUCAGACAGACUGGAAGCAAAAUGUUAACAAUUGAAAUCACUAAGUUGUAGAAUUAGAGGUGAUUUUUAUGUUUAUCAUUUAUAACUCAUCUAUGCCUUCCCAGUGUUUAGCAAUAAGCAUAAAACUAUUCCAACAAUUAAGAAAAAUUACUUUUAAAUGUCUUUUUUUAAAAGCAAAGAUUUCUUUUAGAUGCAAGCUACCUAUGUUUGGCUGAAAAGCAGAUGGAAGAAUCCACAGUGGAAAAGGAAGAAAAGAUGGACUAUUUUUAUCAAGAAAGGGAACCUGUAGAAAGCUCAGCUGCAAGGACAGUAGAAAGUGACAGGCUCCAGGUCCCUGGUGGAUGUGGUCACUUUGGAGGGGAGCAGCUUCAGAGAAUGAAAACAAUGAAGGAAAUUCCAGCCUACUCCAGUUCUCUCAGGCUGUAUCUCAAUAGGAUCCAACUGGACCUUGUGAUCCUGGAUCUUGGCUGACAAGCAACCUGGCAUGGAAUAGACACUCAGUAAAUGUUUGUCAAAUGAAUUUCCUUAUGAUUUCUGGCAGUUAUAUUUAUAACACAGGAAGUGAUCUACUCCUUGAACCAAGCACUGGAUAUCUUCAAACCAUCUGUGCCAUGAAUUAUAGUUCCAACUCAAGUAUAAUUUUAGUAACUACCAGAUAUCAGGUUUGCUCUUAUUAUACUUGCUAUAAAACCCCUGAACUGAUAACUUUGGUCCAACUUCCCCUCCUUUGUUUUAGACUAACUGGAUCUACUGAAAACAUGUGUGAUCAGUCAAAAUCACAUGCUCCUUCUGCUCCUCUUCCCAGUAAACAGUUGAGGCAAAACAGCAGAGUAUAAAAGAAGUGGUUUAGGAUAUAAAGUCAGAGUAGGUUCAACUCUGCCAUAGUUCUGUGCUCUUGGACAAGUGAGUCACCCUAUAAGCCUUCCUUCUAUGUAAACGGGGACUAAGGAUACCUCUACUAUUUCACAGGGUUAUUGUAAGGCCUCAGCAAAAACAAAAAACAAAACAACAACAACAACAAAAACAAUGAAAAGUACACUGCCAACAGCACAUGACAAUACAGCCAAAGCAUCCUAGUAUGUGAUGGAACCACUCAAUGGGCUCUCCUCUUUCAAAAGGCAAGAUACCCUCAUUCCCCAUACUCUCACCUAUUUGUCAAUCAGCAGUACAUAUUUGCAAGAUGUCUAGCUGGGGUUGAUCUAUAACCUGGGGCUGAGAGAACGCAUUUUUGUGUAUGUAAGUGUCUUCUGCCUAGAUGGUCCAUCAGCGCCACACUCCAACUUGAGUCAGUCCUCCCAAAGAGAAAGUUCUUUCCAAUGGACUUUCAUGAGGCAAGGCACAGGGUAAAGCCCUGGGAGCAGGGAGCGUCUAGGUUUCCAAGUGAAAGAUCGAUAGGAGACAUCACAAAUCAACAGGACAUCACCUGACAAACUUAGAACCAUUUUACCCAAAACAAACAACAAAAACACACUAUCGUACCCCAAAGUCUCCUCCUUUACCUCCUUCCAACCAAUCUUAGGUACUUUUGUACAGCUUUAUUUAGGUCUAAUUUAUAUACCAUAAAAUGAACCCACUGUAAAUGUACAAUCCAAUGACUUCUAUUCAUUUAGAGUUGUGCAACUAUCACUGCAAUCCAAGUUUAGAACUUUCAUCACUCCAAAGCUCCCCUUAAACCUGUUUCCAAUCAAUCUCCACUCCUACCUGUAGUCCCAACCAUUGAUCCACUUUCUGUCUCUAUAAAUUUGCCUUUUCUAGACAUUUCACAUAAAUGGAAUCAUAUAAUAUGUAGUCUUUUAAGUUUGGCCUCAUUCACUUAGAAUAACAUUUCUGAAGUUUAUUCAUGUUGUAGCAUACAUUAGUAGCUCAUUCUUUUUUAGUGUUGAAUAGCAUUCCAUUUUACGGAUAUUCCAGAUUUUGUUUAUCCCUUCACCAUUUGAUAGACAUUUGAACUGUUUCCAGAUUUUGGCUAUUAUAAAUAACGCUAUAGACAUUCACAUACAAGUCCUUGUGUGGACAUAGGUUUUUAUUUCUCUUGGGUAGAUACCUAGGAGUGAAACUGCAGCAUCAUAUGGUACGUUUAUAUUUAUUAAAUUACCAAAUUGACUGCCAAAGUAACUGUACCAUUUUACAUUCUCAUAGCAAUGCACAGUUUCCAGUUUCCAUACAUCCUUACCAACACAUUUUUAUAGUCUUUUUGACUAUAGUCAUUCCAGAAGAAUACAGUGGAAAUUCACUGUGAUUUUAAUUUACAUUUCCCUAAUAACUAAUUAUGUUGAACAACUUUUUAUGUGAUAAAAUGUUCAAGUCUUAUGUUUCUAAUUCUUUGCUUUUAUUGUGAUAAAACAUAACACAAAAAUCUACAAUUUUAACCAUUUUUAAGUGUACAAUUCAG